rnacentral:rRNA from 1 species
AGGCAGCAGUAAGGAAUAUUGGUCAAUGGGCGAAAGCCUGAACCAGCCAUCCAGCGUGCAGGAAGAAGGCCCUACGGGUUGUAAACUGCUUUUGUCAGGGAAGAAACCCUUGGAUUCACUCCGAGGCUGACGGUACCUGAAGAAUAAGCCCCGGCUAACUCCGUCCCAGCAGCCGCGGUAAUACGGAGGGUGCGAGCGUUAUCCGGAAUUACUGGGUUUAAAGGGUGCGUAGGCGGCUUGGUAAGUCAGGAGUGAAAGUCUGCGGCUCAACCGUAAAAUUGCUUUUGAUACUGCCAGGCUAGAAUCAGGAUGAGGUCAGCGGAAUGUGGCAUGUAGCGGUGAAAUGCAUAGAUAUGCCAUAGAACACCUAUUGCGAAGGCAGCUGGCUAGACCUGUAUUGACGAUGAGGCACGAAAGCGUGGGGAGCGAACAGGAUUAGAUACCCUGGUAGUCCACGCCCUAAACGAUGCUUACUCGACGUAUGACGCUUGACGUUGUGCGUCCAAGCGAAACCGU